GAUGAACGCUGGCGGCGUGCUUAACACAUGCAAGUCGAACGGAAAGGCUCCUGCUUGCAGGGGUACUCGAGUGGCGAACGGGUGAGUAACACGUGGGUGAUCUGCCCUGCACUUCGGGAUAAGCCUGGGAAACUGGGUCUAAUACCGGAUAGGACGAUGGCUUGGGUGCCAUUGUGGAAAGUUUUUUCGGUGUGGGAUGAGCUCGGGGCCUAUCAGCUUGUUGGUGGGGGAGUGGCCUACCAAGUCGGCGACGGGUAGCCGGCCUGGGAGGGUGUACGGCCACAUUGGGCCUGCGAGACGGCCCAGACGCCUACGGGAGGCAGCAGUGGGGAAUAUUGCACAAUGGGCGCAAGCCUGAUGCAGCGACGCCGCGGGGGGGAUGACGGCCUUCGGGUUGUAAACUCCUUUCGCUAGGGACGAAGCGCAAGUGACGGUACCUGGAGAAGAAGCACCGGCUAACUACGUG
rnacentral:rRNA from 1 species